GUUUUGGCUGAAAAAAGAGAUGACUCCCAUUAUUCCCUUAAAAUUCUCCAUUACCAAAUAAAAAGAAACCUCCAAUUCAUUAAAAGAGGGAACUAACUCUUUAGUCCAUUGCUAGGGUUACAUGAAGUGGCUGUCUCUACCUUCCCCUUCACUUCAAGGUUGCAAUCAGUAUAUGACUUCUAAAUAUUGGCAAGGAUCUAGGACGGAUUUGCGAUUUUAAGGGUAGUUCGGUUCAAUUGGAUUUAAAUGUUUAAUUUACAUUCAUAAAAUCUCGUUUCUUGGUGAAGCCUUUGAACUUCUCUUGGGACGAAUCUAUAUUCCAGCUCCAAUUGAUUUGUUUGUUUUCCUAAUUUUGUUUUUAAGUCCUGAGAGAGAGCACACAAUGUUCUGUUGAUGUUUUCCUUACGACUGCUAGAUAUCUUAAUGAUGAAGUUAGAAACGUUCUUCCUCAAUUGCCUUCUGAACAAAAGUUUUGAUAUCAUGCAAUUUAAAUCCACAUUCUUUAAUUAAACCUUUGAGAGUUAGAUUUUUACUAUUAUUUUCUUUGUUUUUAGGAUAAAUCUGCUAGUACACCUAGCUGAAGAAGUUCCACGAUCAAGCAUUGUGCCUUCAAGCAUUGGUGCAGGAAAUUUUGUUUCAAGCUUCAGACUUGAAAGUGCUGGAGCACUAGGCUCUUUAUUGAACAGAACAUGAAAUUUGACAGUGGAGGUGGUGAUCCACAACUUCUCAGAUUUUGGACGAAGGGCAUGAAUAUGUGUUGGUCCCAAAAGAAAUAUGGGAGAAGCUCUCCGAGUGAUACAAAGGAGGACCAGUAUUAGCUCGGAAAAUAAUUUAUGUGGGAGAUGCCAACCAACUUAGCAUGGAGGUGUUCCUGUUAUGUCUCAGCUUAUUUGAUACUAGAGAUAAAAGCCACAAGGUUACAAGGUUAAGCGAAAUGGCAUCUUGACAUGAACUCUAAUUCAUAGUUGUAGACUCAAAGGAAUGGCGCCAGCAAAAGAUUUGUUCUAUUUCAUGUCAUGAAGCAGAAUUUUUUUUUAGAAUGAGACAAAAAAACUCAUCCUUCUAUCAUUUUCUGGAUUACAUAGGCACACAUCUCGGAUUAUUUUUAUAAAAUGAAACAUAAUGUGUUAGUUGCUUCAAACCAAAAACUGGAGGACUCCAACUAGCAGAUGAAUCAAGAUGUGAUUUUCUCAUACAAUAUAAACCCUUAUAUUACUAGGUGCUCCAAUGGAAAAUGAGAAAGACUAGCUUAUAGUGAUAUGCAUUAGUAAGAGAGAUCAUUUGGUUUUUCACAUUAACUAAAAUAAUCUAAGCAUAAUAUUUCGCAUAAGUAAUACAAUGUUUGGUUUGUUGAAAAGAUAUUUAGUUAUAUCUUCUAUUGUUGAAUUGAUCGAAAUAUGGAUUA